GACGUAGGGGGCCAGCGUUGUUCGGAAUUACUGGGUGUAAAGGGUUCGUAGGCGGUGCGGCAAGUUGGGAGUGAAAUCUCUGGGCUUAACCCAGAGGCUGCUUCCAAAACUGCUGUGCUUGAGUGUGGGAGAGGCGCGUGGAAUUGCAGGUGUAGCGGUGAAAUGCGUAGAUAUCUGGAGGAACACCGGUGGCGAAGGCGGCAUCCUGGACCGGUAUUGACGCUGAGGCGCGAAAGCUAGGGGAGCAAACGGG
rnacentral:rRNA from 1 species